rnacentral:lncRNA from 1 species
GAGAAGAGGCAAGUUCGGGCACGAUGAAGAAAAAUCAAGGCGUACCCCUUUUAACAAUAGGGAGCAGCUCGAGGCUGCAAAGAGAUUAUUGAUUAUUAAAAUGGCAUUGUCAGGAGAUGACUCCAAAAUAACAGAGCUGCCUCUGAGUUGAAGAAAAGUCUGAAGAUCGAGAGCUGAACAAAGAAGAGAAUGAAUGACACAAUGUGGUAAGUGACUUAUAACUAAACUAGUGUGGCCAUCUUCACUGUGUCAUUAUAGUUUACAAAUCGCAUACACAUAAAAUGCAUACACAUGGUACUAUCUGUUGGAAGCAGUUCAACUGAAUACAUUUGAAUUGAAAUGUACACAACUCUCUAAGUUCAUUUUGGUUAACGCUGGUGUAAAGGCACUCAGUAGUCACACAUUGUAAAUUAUUUUAUGCUGAUUUUUAAUUGGGGAGAAUUUAAGAUGACUUGCAUGAUUAAGAUACGCAUUGUGCUCCUGUAACCAUGGAGUUUGUUAGGCUGACACUUAGGUUGAUACUACUGGCUUAAAGAGUAAGCCAAGAGUGUACAGUCUCUUAAAAUUUGGUUGCUCCUUUGGGUUAAUCAAACUAUUCAAUAUAUACAUUCAAGAGUGUAUUACAUAUAUUUUGUGAAACGGGCUUUUUAAUAGUUUAUAAAAAAUUGAGUUUUACAUAUUGUGGGAAUUUCUAGUGCCUUAGAUUGUUUUUCUGGCUGUGUGUACUACAGGGACUAGUUAUUUAGGUAAGCCUCCUUUUCUCUUUGCUAUUCACAAGACCCUCUAUGGAGCCUCCAAGAGAAGGUGUGAUAGAGGAUUGAGUUAACAAGCAAAAAAUAAGGGCUGAGAAUUCCAGACUCAUCUCCAUUGUGUGAGUAGAGACAUGCUGGCUGUAUAACCUGCCCCUCUUCAGAUCCAUCAUACCC